rnacentral:hammerhead_ribozyme from 1 species
AUCCAGCUGACAAAUCCCAAAUAGGACGAAACCCACAUCCUGGAU